GCGAAAGUGGCGGAAUUGGUAUACGCUAAGAUAGACUAGUCAGUGAGAGUUCGAAUCUCUCCUUUCGCACCA
rnacentral:tRNA from 1 species